AAAAGGCGCAGCGAGAGUCCCCGGGGAAUCCCCCACCCGCCCCCCAGUCGGGGACCCCGUCACGCCUGCUCGGUGCGAGCUCCAGGCGCCAGUUGCUAUAGGCAACCAGCUCUGGUGACCAACUGGUCCCGGUUGCCCGGGUUGUGCUGGUUUAGCGCUGGCAGGAUCGCAGUCCCGCAGCCCACCCAGGUGACGCUAUCCUGCCCCCUACCGCUCCACCCAGAGUAGGUCCGGGAGACUUCUUACUAUGGGGCUCUUUCUUUUUUUUUUAACACUACCUGUUUAAUAUUAGGGUGAAGGCACCCCGCAGACAGUCUCCCGACCAAGCCCUGGCAUGUCAGCACUUCAGUGGAGCCUUCCUUCCUAAAGAGCCUCGUGGUGGAACAGCUGUUUGCUUUCCCCAUUCAAAGGGAAGGAUGAAAGCUCUACCUAAAAACAGGAUGUGAGCGGAAGAGACCUGUCAUUGUACCCUCCCCAAGAAAUUGAUUAGAAAUGGGGAAAGCAAACUGUAGUUUGGUGUGGCCCCUCUAAAGCAUAAGUACUGUAUUUUUCCAUGUAUAAGACACCCCCAUGUAUAAGACACCCCCCACUUUUCCAACCCAAAAUUAAGAAA